UACGGGGGGAGCAAGCGUUGUUCGGAUUUACUGGGCGUAAAGGGCGCGUAGGCGGUCAGCACAAGUCAGUUGUGAAAUCUCCGGGCUUAACCCGGAAAGGUCAACUGAUACUGUGCGACUAGAGUGCGGAAGGGGCAACUGGAAUUCUCGGUGUAGCGGUGAAAUGCGUAGAUAUCGAGAGGAACACCGGCGGCGAAGGCGGGUUGCUGGGCCGACACUGACGCUGAUGCGCGAAAGCCAGGGGAGCGAACGGG
rnacentral:rRNA from 1 species